GAUGAACGCUGGCGGCGUGCCUAAUACAUGCAAGUCGAGCGAACAGAUGAGGAGCUUGCUCCUCUGACGUUAGCGGCGGACGGGUGAGUAACACGUGGAUAACCUACCUAUAAGACUGGGAUAACUUCGGGAAACCGGAGCUAAUACCGGAUCAUAUAUUGAACCGCAUGGUUCAAUAGUGAAAGACGGUUUUGCUGUCACUUAUAGAUGGAUCCGCGCCGCAUUAGCUAGUUGGUAAGGUAACGGCUUACCAAGGCAACGAUGCGUAGCCGACCUGAGAGGGUGAUCGGCCACACUGGAACUGAGACACGGUCCAGACUCCUACGGGAGGCAGCAGUAGGGAAUCUUCCGCAAUGGGCGAAAGCCUGACGGAGCAACGCCGCGUGAGUGAUGAAGGUCUUCGGAUCUUAAAACUCUGUUAUUAGGGAAGAACAAAUGUGUAAGUAACUAUGCACGUCUUGACGGUACCUAAUCAGAAAGCCACGGCUAACUACGUG
rnacentral:rRNA from 1 species